AUUCUGAAUCAACGCACCGUGGAUACAAAUCCUGACUGAAUCACAUUUACAUUCCAGCCCCGGAUUCCAGCUUUUCUGUUUUUACAUUUAGUUUAGUCUGUCAGAUGUCAAAACUUUUUCACCGGUCAAACUCAGUUUAAAGAUGCCCUUUUAUGCUAUCAAGAAGAUGUGCACCAGGAUCAAGUGUAUUCAUUGUUAUGGUUUCAAAAGGGAGAUACAGCCGCUCUUUCCAGGCAGGACGUUUAGCAGAGAAGAAGUGCGCCUCUUCGCCGAACUCUGGCGACCCGAAUCCUCUGCAUACCGCUGCCGAUGGGAUUAGUGGCUGAUACUGGGUGUUGAUGCGUUGGUGAAGUGAGGUCCGUUCUGUGCAGCCCUCCCCCUUCUGCUCCACCACCACCAAUAAGAGGUCUGGCUCCUGGUUAUUAUGCAGAGAUGGAGAAUCUUCUGAGGCAACGAGAUGAUGCCAUAGAAGAGGCAGAGAAACUGCAGCAAGCACGGAGUGCUCCCCACAAGAGUAAAGCCCUGGAAUCAAGGGUUCAUCUGGCAGAAGUGGCCAACAGGAAUCACAGAAUAUAGAGCUCAAUUAGGAAGAAUUUCUUUUUAUGCUGAAUGAUGAACUCAACAAACUCAGGUCAAUGGUCAAGAUAAUGCCCAGAAAUAUCCCCCCCCCCCCCCCAGAACCAGUGAUGGCAUAUACUGCUAUUCACAAGAACAGAUUCCUGGAAUCAAGGGUUCAUCUGACAGAAGUGGCCCAAUAGGAAGCAGAGAAUAUGGAGCUAGAUUGGGAAGAAUUUAUUGUCAUGCUGUAGGAAGAACUCGACAAACUCGGGUCAAUGGUCAAGAAAAUACCCAGCAAUAUGCCACUUGAACCUGUGAGGGUAUAGAGUGCUGUUCAUGAGAGCAAAGCCCUGGAAUCGAGGGUUCUACUAGCAAAAGUGGCCCAAUGGGAAGUACUGUAUAUGGAGGUAGAUUAGGAAAAGUUGGUGCAUGCAGGAGGAUGAACUCGACAAACUCGGGUCAAUGGUCCAGAAAAUGCGCUGCAAUAUGCCACCACAACCAUUGUCAUGUCGCUCAAUGUACGUCAUGGAUACGACCCCUAUCUGGUGUCUACCAUCUUCCAAGCAUAAAUAAGAGAGACAGUCUAUCUGAGACGAGGACAUAACACCAAUCUUAGAAUCAUUUUCUACAGGGAGUGUCUGGUUUGAAAAGUUAUUGGUCUUUAUGUGAUCAUGUAGAUCAUAUUAAUUGAACAAAUCAUCACUUUAAACUUUAUGUAAAUAUAUCCAAAACUCUUUAUCACCAAAUAUGGGAUUCUUUAUUUAUUUUUCCUCAUGAACCCAUCAUUUUUAUGUGUUUUAUGACUUUUGUGUAGCCUAAGCAGCAGGUCCAAGCUAUUAUCUUUUUUGCUGAAAUUUCAUUGUAUCUGAAUUAUCUGUUGUUUCAUUAUGUAGGGCAUGGUUACUAGGAGUAAAAAGUAAUUUGUAUAUAAGGUUGGAAAUUUUCAAGUGUUUGGCUUAGAAUUAAUUCUAUAUUGGCUGGGGCAUAUUGGGAGAUCAUAUGGGUGAAAAGGCUUCCCUGAAAUUUUGGUCGUCAACCCGAUAAUUGGCAUGCACGCUGCCUUGGACCUAAUCUACAAAAUUGUAUGAUGUUUAUUUCAUGAAAAUUGCUAUUAACUAUGUUAAUUCAUGCACAAGUGGUAUGUAAAAUCAUACCUUUUUGCUCCCAAAAGUAAAGCUACAAAUGACCUAAUUUUUGGUGUAGAAACUGUGUUGUUCUUCGCAAAUGCUCUUGAAAAAAAUAAUUGAUACCAGAUCAAUUUCUUAUGUAUUGGAUUGUUUCUGCAAUUUGUUUUAUGUAUUUCUUUUUUUUACCUUUGCUUUUCAUUGUAUUUUAGAUGAAAUUUGUUGGUGAUCAAUUAAUUUGAAUCAAUGAGAGUAAAUGUACUCAUUUAUCAAUAUUUGGCUGAAAACACAAUUUGUCCAAAAAUUGUACACAAAAUCACGUUUUAGAGCAAUUUUUUGUCUGAUAUGCUUGUACAAAUUAUGCAUAUCUUCGGAACUGCAUUUCUGGAUGCUACAAAUUUGGUCUUAAAAUAUGCAAAGAAAGUCACAAAACAACAUGGUGAGAGUUUUUCAUGUUAAAAAAAUAUUGCAUGAGCGUCAAGCAGGCCCUUCAAGCCCCCCUUCCCCCCCCCCCCCACCCCGGCCUAGUUAGGAAAGUUUCUCUUGAUGAAGUAUUUAUUUAUUUAUGUGUUGACAAUUCUGCAAAAGUGGAUCCGAAGGUUUUCCAGAGUUUUUGCCUAUUGUGUUUUAUCUCUGGUUUUUUACCCUGGAUCUACUUGUCGUAGAAUUAUUCUUCCCCCCCCCCCCCCCUUUCGUGCACAUUACUAUUAUACCUAUUUUCCCAUUGAUUUCAUUAAUAUUUAUUUUCAUCAUACAUUAAUUACACCCAAAAAAUUUAGAAUAUUUUGUAAGUUGUUAAUUUCGAGAUAAAGGUUUUUCUAUGCUCAGAAAUAUGAUGUAUUUUGUGUUAUUAAUCUUUAACCUAUUUGUUUAGGCCUAUCAGCAACAAUCAAAGUUUGUUAUUACCAUAUUCAAUUUAUAUCUGUUAAUUUCUAGCAUUAAUAUCUGCAUACGCGAUAAAAUAUAUUUCAGAAGAAUGAAUGAUGUCAUUAGCAUAAAUAAUAAACAAAGGACCUAGUAUAGUUAUUUGUGGGACACCAAAUGUUAUAGACAAAAUAUCAGAUUAAUCAUCAUUAAAAGUCGCAAAAUAAACCCCUCACAAAAAGUUCAAAAACUCAAGUUUGAUGGAUGAUUAUUUGUUUAAUACUGAACCACUUAAAAUGAAAAUGGUGUUAUUGGUUAGCCUCUUUGCAAAGAGGUUCCAAUUUUUUUUAUUAUAUUAUCAUGGAAUUUGCAACCACCCUUUAAGGUCAAGUCCACCCCAGAAAUAUGUUGAUUUUAAUCAAUAGAAACAAAUCUAACAAGCAUAACAUUGAAAGAUUUUUCAAAAUCGGAUGUAAAAUAAGGAAGUUAUGAUAUUUUGAAGUUUCGCUUAUUUUUCUCAAAACAAUAUUGAAAUAACUUGUUCUCGCGAUAAUUGAAGAACUGUUUGAGAGAUCAACUCGUCUUUCAAUCUGUGUUUUUCUUCAGCAAGAAGUUUACCCUCAUUGUGCUGCACUCAACCCAGGUUAAGAUGAAAAACCAUGGUAGAUAGGUCUAGUGUUACUGGGUUAGAAAGUGCUCUCAUAUUAUUGGAUAUUUUAGUUUCUUUUUCUUACGUAUAUUAAACUAGCAAAACAAUUCUGGGAAGUGUUUCACAAAAAAAAAUCUCUGACCAAAGUCAUUGCGAAAGCAUUAACAUGCUCAUGAUCUUUGAUACACAGUCUGAUCAAUUCAUUUGCAUUAGAGCACGUCCUUUGAGAGUGAUUCAAUCUAUUGAUCUGUUAUUUUCCACACGCAAGUAGCAAUUUAAUCACAUUUAAUUUUUUGUGAAACACUUCUUUAAUUUGUCUCUUAAGGCCUCCACACACCUUUCGAGUGGUCCACAAUCUGAUUUUGGAGCAAAUUACAUUUUGCUAAUUUUCUGUAAUGUGAUGGACAAAUAUCUUUUCAUUCGAGGCUUAAAUUAACUGUGAGAAUACUAAAUAAUUUUAUGUGAUUUCAAGCCUUUAUUUUUUUUGUAAAGGCCAAAUUGGUUUUAAAUUGUAGAAAAUCGUAUGAUUGCUAUGACAUCAUUUCACUUUUAUUCAAAUGAUGAUGCAAGCAUAGUCACAGAUUUCAAUGAGUAUUCAUUGGAUAAUUUAGAAUUUUACACAGCAAGAUGUGACAUGUCUCUAUGUUCACAAAUACUCCUUUAAUAAUAGGUUCGCAGGCCAAUCAAAAGGUGUGCGGUGACCUUUACAUCAAUGUCAGAUAGCUUGGACCUGCCCUACAUUGUACAAUUGUCUGUGCUAUAUACAAUACUUGCUUUGUAUUCAUGAAGUGUAUUUUUUUUCUUUGUUGAAAAAAUGAAUUGUAAGACCAGCAGCCCGGAAGAUUUAUUCAAGUUGCAGGACCAUAGCAGUUGACCUCGUUGAUCAAUGAUGGUAGGCCCUCAUCCUCACAAACAUGGCUUCAUCUCUGGUUUGAGCUGGGGUCUUCCAGCCAGAAUUACACAGUGACAUCACUACCAAGAGAUCUCUUUUUCAGUGUGCAGAGAAGGGCACUGGACACAGUUGUGCAUGGUAGACAACUUGCCACAAUGUAAGUGCUUUAAUAAUGAUUUCAAUGAUAUUUCGUGCAGCCGAAAGUAUGCGAGACAAUGCAAUCAGUUUUUCAGUAAUUAUGUACUUAGGGCAAUAAUAUUGGGUGGCAAUUUUCCCCAUAUCAGGAAUAUCUCUCCCUUUUCUUUUAAUGACUAUAAUCCCUUCUCUUUACCUUAACUGGUAUUUCUUCCCAUUUCUGUAUUCUUUUGUUGGCUGUGCCGGAUCAAUCCAUUGAUUAUAGUCUUUCUUUAUAUACCUCCCAGUACUAUUUGUUCUAGAUGUUGCUCUAACUUUAUCUUUGUUUCACAUUGUUACAACAUUAUAUUUGCCAUGACUGAUUUAAUAAUGUGCUAAGAAGAUAAACAAUUUUUAUUAGAAAUUUAUAUAUACAGACAUAGAUCUUAUUUUUUUAUUGCAGAGCAAUAAUAGAGCAAUGUGAAUUAUUUUGCAAUAUAUUUAUUCUCCUUUUCUGUACGUGUUCUUUUUUUGGCCAGACUAAUUUGAAUAAAUAUUUCAAACUUUAUCGCGGUCAUUUCACCAUGUACGUCCAUAAACCUCAUGUUUGUGCCGAGUGCGUAUCCAUCAUGUAUUCACAGAAUGUGAAGAGAUAUUGUGGACUGCACGAAUGUUAAGAUAUGUGAUGAUAAGGUAGAUUCUCAAUGUAGGUUUGUCUGCCCAAAUCUUCAACUUCGGAUAUACAUUUUUUAUCCAUUUUUAUGAGGGUUGUACACUUCAAUGGUUUUUCCUCAAUGUGUAAAAAAAUGCUCCUUCAAUCAGAGCAAUAUAUAUAAGUCUGGGAUCUAGUUUCAGAAGCGCAAUGUCAAAUUUUGAUUUCUAGAGCCUUGCCAGUGUAGUGUUUCAAGUUGACCAAUGUUGAUAUUUGAAAUAUUGAUGGAGCAGUUUAGCCAAUAUGGCUUUGGAGCUUAGUGGCAUUGAUCAAGAUCGAUCAAAAACUGGCUUUCACUCUAAAUCGAUGCAGUUAACCAUUUGUUCUUCACAAAGUGAAGAAAGAGGAACUGGCGAAGUAUGUUCGAAGAGAGUGCUGCUGACUUCCAGAAAUUUGUUUCAGUCGCAUGUGACAUCUUUAUAUUUGGUGUUUGGAAUCUGGUAAUGUUGCGAUAAUCUUCAAGUACUGUCUGACCACAAGGAAAGGUGUUACUUUCAGCUUACGCAUGAUAUCCAGAGCUCUUCAAAACCUCGUGCAAGUCACAUGCUUCUUGGACUCCCAAAUGCUGAUAUCUUAUGAGACUGUUGGCCUCUUUGUGGUGGCAUUAGAGGAAUUCUUGGUGGAUCUAGUUCCAGUUAGUCAUUUUUGUCUUUUACAGCCAUUUGAUAUUUUCCUGUGUUAUUUGGAUUUUCCAGAUUUAUUUGACUCUGAUGACAUGAAAGGCAAUGUGAAGUCUUGGUAUUACAGAGUCAGAGUCAAUCUUGUCACUAAAAGAGAAGCUACAUACAUCUGAUACAUUUUCUGGCUUAGUAACUCUAGUUAUUAAACUACAAUGCAUUUGUGUGAAUUCUAAUAAGGCAGAUUCUUUGUCACCAUUCAUAUUCUGUGUCCAGGAGGAAACGCUCUUUCUUUGGAAUUAAUUUUGAAUAGAUUUCCUGUGCAGAGGAAACUUCAUCAUGUUCAGGUAUCCAUUAAAGUGAGGGGAAGUUCCAGUGCUUAACCCUAUAUAGCCCAGGCUAAUUUGAAAUUACAUAGACGGGGGGAGGCAUUCUUACCCCCCCCCCCCCUGAUCUUAGUUUUUUGAUUUGGAUACUAUCUCUCGUUUUUUUAAUGAAAGUUGUCGAUGUCACUUUUUCAAUCAUAAAUACAUGAAUUCAGUAGUUCGUAAUCAGUAUCUAUAGGUAAAAAUAAUGAUACAUUUAUGAAUUUUGGCUACAUACAGAAUUUUCAUUGGAUUUGUCAAAUAAAAUCACAUUUUUGAGCAAUUUUGGUCUGACAUGCGCUUACAAAAUGUUGCCUAACUUUGUAACUGCAUACCAUUGCAUUGUAAAUUUGUUCUAUAAAGUUGCGUGAGAAAAAUUUCAUGACAUUUUGUGGCCUGAUCUUUACAAAUAUAUCACAAAAAAUGUUGUGGAGGCUAAAAAAAGCCCCCCCCCCCCCGGGCUGUAUAGGGUUAAGAUAUGCAUGUACCUGCUUACCAUUGCCAGUUAUAUUGGGAGGUCCUCCACUCAAUGAUUCAAUUUGUUUACGAUCUUGUGACAUCUAAAAAUCUUUCAUGGGAACUUGUGAGUCUUUCACUUCUUUGCAAUGAUCAUACAAUGCAUAAUUUUCAGACCAUCAUAAAAUUAUUUCCUUCUUGCUUAUCAUUCCUUUGAUCAUGUCAGAGGAGUUUCUCAGCCACGUUCUGAAGCUUGACAUGAAGUGAUGCUAGGCUGUUCAUUCAUCCAUCUCCCAGUCUUUGGGUAGGGCAGUGAUUGGUAGAUUUUUCCAACAGUGUCCCUUUGGCUAAAGAAAUGGUUUCCUAUAUCCAGUGUGGAAUAAGUUUGGGAAAUUUUGUUGGGUGCUGUCUGUCAGAUUUGACAGAAGAGGCAGCGUAGCUCAGUCGGUUAGAGCGCAUGUUUCGGAUAAGAUCGUAGAUCUCAACGUGAGGGGUUCGAGUCCCGCUCAUGCCGAAACGCGUCUAACAAAAAAGUCUGAUGCUAUAGCGUUGUGUGUUAGCGUGCCUCACCUCUGUAUUCAGUGCAGGUGUGAAUACAGUUGGAAAACACUCCGUCCAUCGGAAAGGACGCAAAUGUUGGUCCCGUGUAUAGGAGAGGUACAACCUAUGCAUGUUUAAACCAAUACACUAUUCGUCAAAGAGUAGGGUGUUCACCCGGUGUAUUGCACCUGCCGGUCGCGGCAAAAUCCAGGUCAAGUACCUGAUGCGUUUAUGCCCAGGAAGGCCCUGCAUCGUAUACAUCCAGAUCCAGACAUUGCAUGAUUUGGUAGAUUGUUCCAACGCUACAUGACCCUUUGGCUAAAGAAGGGGUUUCCUCCAUCCAGUCUGGAACAAGUUUGGACAAUUUUAUUGGAUGCUGUCUGUGAGAGUUGUCAUUGGUUCUUGAUGACCAUUAAGCUGAAGAAAUGGUUUCUUAUAUCCAUGGAAAGAUUUUCUUUAAAUUUGAUUGGUUGUCGUCUCUGAAAUUUGACAUUUUGCUUCACUACUAGGUUUCAUGCAUUGUAUUGCAAUGAUUGAUGGGGGAUUAUAAACCAUUGUGGAAUAUGAAGUGUACUCCCUCAGGACAAGCCUACUUUGAGGUUCCAACCCAUUAGAUCUAUCUUUCAUUGUCGGUGCCUCGCCUGAUCUCUCAGAGUUCAUGGUUAUGUGAUGGAUAUGCAAGCCAACAUUUGGUUCUUGUAUGAUGGUGAAUGAAUAAAUUAGCUAUUUUUAUCAAAAUGCAGUGUUCACUGAAAAUUCAUAGAACCGCGAUUGCAUCAUGAACAGAAAAGGAUAUAUUUAUUUGCAAAUCAUAAUAUAUUCCAUUUGCUCUUUUGAAAAGAAAAGCUCCCCCUUUAAAAAUAAAUCUAUUGGCUAGGUUUUUUUUUAAUGUGAUGAUAUAAAUUAAAUUGAUUAAUAAAAAUAUGAAAUGUGAAAAAUAAUUAGUGAUAAUACUCAAAAAUAUUAAUUUGAACAUUAGAACAUUGUAGUGUCAGUCAUGGAUAGUUAAUGUUGAAAGGAUGUGAAGUAAUCGAAAAUGGGCAGAUACGGGGAGCAUUUUAUGACAAGUUUUGUUAGUGAUCAUCACUAAUUUGCUCUAAGCCAAUCAGAUGCAAGGAUUUGUUGGUGAAAAUCACUGACAAAUCUUCAUGAAAUGCUUCCCUGGAUGGAUAGUACAGGGAGGUAUGGGAAGAGAGCACAAUCAGUGGAGGGGAAGGGGGAAGGGGAGAUGGUUGUAAGGAAGGGAGCAGAUUAAAGGAAAUAAGGUGGUAGUUUUGUUCAAGGGUGAAUGAAAAGACUACAAAGGAGAUUAAUAGAUCGAUUCUUAUGGCAAGGAAGGGGGGAUGGGGGGGGGGGGUUGGUAAAGGAAAUUUCUUUUUAUGAAUGAAUGUCCCCCCUUCAAAAAAAAGUAAUUGUUGCCCCCAUGAAAUAAUCACUUGGAAAUUUGAUGCAUUGUCUAUCAUACUCUUGGCUACACCAAAGAUCAUUGAAAUCAUUAUUAAAGCACUUUCAUUGUGGAAAGUUGUAUACCAUGCACAACAGUAUCCAGUGCCCUUCUCUGUACACUGAAAAACAGGUCUCUCUCUGUAGUGACGUCACAUAUUGUGUGAUUUUGUCAAGAAGACCUCAAGCUCAGACUAGGCUGCUGGUCAUUUUGUGAGGGGGUAGGGUUUGCCCCAUUGAAUUAAGAGGUCAGCUGCUAUGGUAUCUUGUAUACUUGAAUGAAUCUUCUGGGCUGCUGGUCAUUUUUUUUAUUGGCUAUUUAAAAAAAAUCUUUAAUAAAAGUU